AUGCAGUCGAGCGGAUCUUCAGUGUAAGCUUGCUUUUGGAGAUCAGCGGCGGACGGGUGAGUAACACGUGGGCAACCUGCCUGUAAGACUGGGAUAACUUCGGGAAACCGGAGCUAAUACCGGAUAAUCCUUUCCCUCUCAUGAGGGAAAGCUGAAAGACGGUUUCGGCUGUCACUUACAGAUGGGCCCCCGGCGCAUUAACUAGUUGGGGAGGUAACGGCUCACCCAGGGAACGAUGCGUAACCCACCUGAAAGGGUGAUCGGGCACCCUGGGACUGAAACCCCGCCCAAACUCCUACGGGAGGCAGCAGUAAGGAAUCUUCCGCAAUGGACGAAAGUCUGACGGAACAACGCCCCGUGAACGAUGAAGGGCUUCCGGUCCUAAAGUUCUGUUGGCAGGGAAGAACAAGUAGCGGAGUAACUGCCGGUACCUUGACGGGACCUGACCCCAAAGCCACGGGUAACUACGUGCCAGCAGCCGCGGGAAUACGUAUGUGG
rnacentral:rRNA from 1 species